rnacentral:rRNA from 1 species
ACAUGCAAGUCGAACGAUGAUCAGGAGCUUGCUCCUGUGAUUAGUGGCGAACGGGUGAGUAACACGUGAGUAACCUGCCCCUGACUCUGGGAUAAGCGUUGGAAACGACGUCUAAUACUGGAUACGACUGCCGGCCGCAUGGUCUGGUGGUGGAAAGAUUUUUUGGUUGGGGAUGGACUCGCGGCCUAUCAGCUUGUUGGUGAGGUAAUGGCUCACCAAGGCGACGACGGGUAGCCGGCCUGAGAGGGUGACCGGCCACACUGGGACUGAGACACGGCCCAGACUCCUACGGGAGGCAGCAGUGGGGAAUAUUGCACAAUGGGCGAAAGCCUGAUGCAGCAACGCCGCGUGAGGGAUGACGGCCUUCGGGUUGUAAACCUCUUUUAGUAGGGAAGAAGCGAAAGUGACGGUACCUGCAGAAAAAGCACCGGCUAACUACGUGCCAGCAGCCGCGGUAAUACGUAGGGUGCAAGCGUUGUCCGGAAUUAUUGGGCGUAAAGAGCUCGUAGGCGGUUUGUCGCGUCUGCUGUGAAAUCCCGAGGCUCAACCUCGGGCUUGCAGUGGGUACGGGCAGACUAGAGUGCGGUAGGGGAGAUUGGAAUUCCUGGUGUAGCGGUGGAAUGCGCAGAUAUCAGGAGGAACACCGAUGGCGAAGGCAGAUCUCUGGGCCGUAACUGACGCUGAGGAGCGAAAGCGUGGGGAGCGAACAGGAUUAGAUACCCUGGUAGUCCACGCCGUAAACGUUGGGCGCUAGAUG